UUUUUUAUUGUAUGGUUUGGUACUGUGGAUGAACUAACUCUCGUUUUAUGAAUUUAAUUUAAACACAUCUACCACCACUUUUUAAUGCUCACGGGUACUUAUUCUUAUGAUCUUAUUAAUUUGUUUGGAUGUAGAAUUUUUCAAAAGUCAGAAUCGGAGGAAUAUCUUCCAAUGUAUACAGAAAAAAUGUAUUUCAGUAACUCCUCCCUACAUUUCACAAGAAAUCACCUGCUCUGAAUGAAAAGGAAUGGAGUGAAAGGACAGCUUCUAAGGAUUUCUAGAAUGAUAUCAAAUGAUAUUUUUCAAAAAAUUACACUCUUUAAUAAAUUAUGUUUAUAGAUAGGGGACAGACUGCUGGAAGAUAGUAAGGGAGUGAUCACUAGGAGACCUACUGAUUUGUGCUUCUAUCCUCUUGUUUAGCAUGAAGAGAAGAAAGGAUGAGAGCACAGGGUCACGAUCCUCUAAUGUACUCUGCCUAGGAUUUUCCACUGAUGUCAAGGCAACACAAAAUAUUAUUAGACAACAUUGGCUUAUAACACUGAGUGGGGAUAUAGAUUGUUACAGCAGGACUUUGAAAGGGCUUGAUCUUGUAUGAAGAACCUCAGGUGCUGAUGUGAACACUCAUGCUUCUCAUGAUUAACGGCCUAAUCACUAAUGGCCUACUAUGAUUUUGGAGGCCUUCUAUGGAUGGUAACUAUUGGGAUUCGGCCAACAUGAAAAAAAAUGCUUUUUUGUUUUCCUGUGCUCAGGGGGUGCAUGCACCUUCUGCUGGUACAGAACACAGUGCCUGUCAUCAGCUUAAGAAAAUGUUUCUAGCACUGCGCAUCUCUGAUGUUUUCUCCUAUCUUGACCCUUAUAUUCACUGUGAAAAAUUUCUUGUAUUUAUUGCCUCAGAAAUAAAAACAGAAUUUUCCAAUCAUGAAGUAAUGUCCACGAAGGAGAAUAUAACUUAUGGUAGAACUUAGCAAGUAUGGUCAAUAUCCCUGUUUUAAUUAUGAAAUAUAUUUUCGUCAAAUGUCCUUUUAUAUCUUUAUAUGUAUGCAAAUUUAGUAUAGUGCAUGUGAGCUAUUUGCUUGUGCUUCACAGUUAUAUGAAUGUAAAGUUACAAUAUUAAAGCAAGGGGGAAGUGUGCUGAGAUGAAAACAGAUGUCCUGCAGAAUAUACUUUUUUGAAAGCCUUUUUAAUAUACAUUUACAGGCAUGGUACAUACAUUUGUUAUAUUUUCAUUGAUUGGGUUUUGAGGCUGCUGGUUUUCCUUCACUGUUUUGCAGUGUUGUGAGAUUUAUGAUGGUUGAUUUCCAUCCUCAGACAUGAAUUCAUGGCAUUGUCUCUGCUGUUUAUGAAAGGAGAAUGCCAGUCAUCGCCAUAAGUGGCAAAGCUUCUGCCUAGUUAUCCAUAGCUAUCCAUAGAUGAGGAAACAACAUAUGCCCCAGCCCUCUAGAGAUAGUGGUGGUUUAAGAUGCCCAGUGCAGGGAAGAAAAGUGCUCCAUACGAUUGCAGGACAUCAGUGGAGCCACACGUGAAAGGUGGGAGCUCAGAAGCCAGACAGCAGUCACUUUCUGCUCCCAUGAAAUCCUCCCAUAAGGCAGCAUCAUGAUGUUUGCAUUUUGCUAGCCUCCCUUAACUAUUGAGAGGGAUAAACGCUACCAUGUCCAAAUAUGAUAAGGAGAUAAGAGAUUUAGCCCUUUUAGUUACUUUGUCUAUCCCACCUGUCCCAUGGACAGGCAGCUGGAGUAAGUUCCCACUCAUUCUGCUCCUGUUCAAAGUUCCUCCACUUUGUCUAAUGGUCCCACUAGGGGACCAGGGAAAAACUCUUCUCCCAUGGUCUCCAUCCAAGCCUGUAAGAACUCCUUGACUGGAGGUGGAUGGCACAGUGGUGCAGCAGUAGCAUUGUCGCUUCACAGCAAGAGGUUCAGCAGUUUGAUUCUCAGCUGGAGUGGCUUCUACGCGGAGUCUGCACAUCAUCCCUACAUUUAUGUGAGUUUUCUCCGGGUGCACCAGUUUGGUCCCAUUUUACAAAGACAUGCACCUGGAGCAUUUCUGCCUGGGCCUCUGCUGAAAAUUGGCUUUGUUCCAAGUUGAACUUUCCCAGUAAACAAAUGUUAAAUAAAAUCUUUGGGUCCAGCAUUUCCUGUGCUGAAUCCUGAAAUUAUAGAUAUUCACAUCUGUUUGACCAGGCCUUUCUCAGUGGGUUUACAGCAUACUUUUAGAAACUUGAGUCGAUGCUAGUGUCAGGUCCUAUAGCAGCCCAGCCUUUUCUCUGCUAGUAGCACCAUUCUCUGGCUGUUCCCUAGGUGCUGAGGCCCUAGGGCCCUAGUACUCAACCACUUGAGGAACUAAUUAGUAUAGAGAUCCACCAAUUUCAGAACAAAUGUUAAAAGAAUCCUCUCUCCCGUUUUGGUUGUGAAAGAGACUGUGCAGAUUAGGAGAACCAUAUCUGAGUCCAUCAUUGGGUAAGUAGUGAAUAAAAAAUACAUUUUGAAGUGUGCCAGUGGAAUUAUGCAGCUAUAAUCUAUAGGCUGGAAGUUCUGUAUUCUUAACAAGUUUUGGAAAUAAAUGUUUUGUUUUAAUUCAGCUGACCUCGUGACUUGUUUAUUAAAGCACUUUUGCCUGAUGA